rnacentral:rRNA from 1 species
CGAGUACGACCCGUUACGACGGGGAAGUGUCUGAUGUCGGGCUUCCAAGAAAAGCCCGAACCACGUUAAUUCAAAUUGGCCCGUACCCUAAACCGACACAGGUGGGAAGGUAGAGUAUACCCAGGGGCGCGAGAUAACUCUCUCUAAGGAACUCGGCAAAAUGGCCCCGUAACUUCGGGAGAAGGGGUGCCACCGAGAGGUGGUCGCAGUGAAGAGUCCCAGGCGACUGUUUACCAAAAACACAGGUCUCCGCUAAGUCGCAAGACGAUGUAUGGGGGCUGACGCCUGCCCAGUGCCGGAAGGUUAAGGAAGUUGGUCAGGGAGCAAUCCUGAAGCUAGCGACUGAAGCCCCGGUGAACGGCGGCCGUAACUAUAACGGUCCUAAGGUAGCGAAAUUCCUUGUCGGGUAAGUUCCGACCCGCACGAAAGGCGUAACGAUCUGGGAGCUGUCUCGGAGAGAGGCUCGGCGAAAUAGGAAUGUCUGUGAAGAUACGGACUACCUGCACCCGGACAGAAAGACCCUAUGAAGCUUUACUGUAGCUUGGUAUUGGGUUCGGGCUUUGAUUGCGCAGGAUAGGUGGGAGACUAUGAAGUAGUCCUUGUGGGGAUUAUGGAGUCACUGGUGAGAUACCACUCUAUCAAGGCUAGAAUUCUAACUUUGACCCGUUAUCCGGGCAGAGAACAGUAUCAGGUGGGCAGUUUGACUGGGGCGGUCGCCUCCUAAAUGGUAACGGAGGCGCGCAAAGGUUCCCUCAGGCUGGUUGGAAAUCAGCCAUUGAGUGUAAAGGCAUAAGGGAGCUUGACUGCGAGACUGACAAGUCGAGCAGGUACGAAAGUAGGCCUUAGUGAUCCGACGGUUCCGCGUGGAAGGGCCGUCGCUCAACGGAUAAAAGUUACUCUAAGGAUAACAGGCCGAUCUCCCCCAAGAGUUCACAUCGACGGGGAGGUUUGGCACCUCGAUGUCGGCUCAUCGCAACCUGGGGCUGUAGUCGGUCCCAAGGGUUGGGCUGUUCGCCCAUUAAAGCGGUACGUGAGCUGGGUUCAGAACGUCGUGAGACAGUUCGGUCCAUAUCCGGUGCAGGCGUAGGAACAUUGAGAGGAGUCUUCCUUAGUACGAGAGGACCGGGAAGAACGCACCGCUGGUGUACCUGUUAUCGUGCCAACGGUAAACGCAGGGUAGCCAAGUGCGGAGAGGAUAACCGCUGAAAGCAUCUAAGUGGGAAGCCCACCUCAAGAUGAGUGUUCCCAUGGCAAAAGCCAGUAAGGUCACGGGUAGACCACCCGUUAAUAGGCGCUAGAUGGAAGUCCAGCAAUGGAUGUAGUCGAGGCGUACUAACAGACCGAGGGC